rnacentral:rRNA from 1 species
AGCAGCCGCGGUAAUUCCAGCUCCAAUAGCGUAUAUUAAAGUUGUUGCAGUUAAAAAGCUCGUAGUUGAAUUUCGGGGUCAGUAGGUCGGUCGUGCCACAGGUAUGUACUGGUCUCACUGAUUCCUCCUUCCUGAUGAACCGUAAUGCCAUUAAUUUGGUGUUGCGGGGAGACUGGACUGUUACUUUGAAAAAUUAGAGUGUUUAAAGCAGGCUAACGCUUGAAUACAUUAGCAUGGAAUAAUGAAAUAGGACGUUCUAUCCUAUUUUGUUGGUUUCUAGGAUUGACGUAAUGAUUAAUAGGGAUAGUUGGGGGCAUUAGUAUUCAAUUGUCAGGGGUGAAAUUCUUGGAUUUAUUGAAGACUAACUACUGCGAAAGCAUUUGCCAAGGAUGUUUUCAUUAAUCAAGAACGAAAGUUAGGGGAUCGAAGACGAUCAGAUACCGUCGUAGUCUUAACCAUAAACUAUGCCGACUAGGGAUCGGAUGAUGUUAAUUUUAUAAUGACUCAUUCGGCGCCUUAA